GAAGUUUUAGUUAAAGAAUAUAACAUUAUCCUGUCAAGAUAAAAUUAUCUAUAUAGUAUAGAUAUAUUUCU
rnacentral:tRNA from 1 species